rnacentral:rRNA from 1 species
AUUGAACGCUGGCGGCAGGCCUAACACAUGCAAGUCGAGCGGAGCGGCGGACGGGUGAGUAAUGCCUAGGAAUCUGCCUGGUAGUGGGGGAUAAGGUCCGGAAACGGGCGCUAAUACAGCAUACUAACAGAUGAGCGGAGGUCGGUUUAGCUCGUUGGUGGGGUAAAGGGCUACCAAGGCGACGAUCCGUAACUGGUCUGAGAGGGUGAUCAGUCACACUGGAACUGAGACACUGUCCAGACUCCUACGUGAGGCAGCAGUGGUGAAUAUUGGGCAAUGGGCGAAAGCCUGAUCCAGCCAUGCCGCGUGUGUGAAGAAGGUCUUCGGGUUUUAAAGCACUAUAAGUUGGGAGGCGUUACCUACAGAAGAAGCACCGGCUAACUACGUGCCAGCAGCCGCGGUAAUUC